ensembl:lncRNA
AAUGGAGGAUCUCAGCUGUGCCCUUUCUUUGCAGAGGUGGUCUAUUCAUAAGACUUCCUCCUGAGAUGCACUGCGAGAUGAAAGUACGCAAGCUGAUUCCUGGAUAGGAAGCAUUCUCUGACAGCUGGAAGAGACCUCACCUAAGUCAGGUCAGUUUGGAGAUGUCCCUGUCAACAGAGCUCUGCCCUUAAGGGGAUCUUGGAACAAGCUGUGCUCUUACGGCCAAGGGAAGAGGGAAAAUCUGCUGCAAGUUUCUCCUGUGCAUCUUGCAGCCAUGUUCUCAGAAAAGGUAUCAGCCACCUGGACUUGUGGACUAUCAGCCACUUGAACUUUCCUUUCAUUGCAGUUUUUCUUGAUAGAAGGCCUGAAAGCUGCAAGAUAGGGAAUCUGUCUCCAAUCUCUGCUCCCUCACAUGUUUUCUCCUUCUUCUUUUCUACCCUGUCUUCAAAACCUUUGCCUUCCAGGAGGGGUACUUCCUGUAUUGAUGUGUUAGGAGGAAGAGAGAGAGUUUUGUUGGAUCUUGAGGAGUGCAGGGCAGAAGAUUACUUCUACUUCUGUUCUUUUUGCAUCAGUCUAAUUGCAGGGCAAGUCUCCCUCAAAGAAACAACCAAAGGGCUCCAUGCAUUGUGUUUGCAGCUCUACUCUCAUGAGUAGUUCAGCUGUACACAUGUAAGUGCUCACAGGAUCAAGCAUGAUAAAGACAAAAAGCAGACAAAGCAAAGGAGAGCAAGUUAGACAUACAAGUGCAGUGGUCAGGGUGAUGAUAGGCACACAUGUUGUUAGUUCCUCUCCCCCUCCCUCCUGCCAGCCCCUGAAACAAGCAACAUAUGAUAGGAGGAGGAGAAGGGUGAAAAUCUGAAUCCGUGCUUGGAAGAAAAACACCCAUCUGUAAAAGAUUCAUAUUUCAUAGGUCUUGCUUGUGCUUCAGCCUCCUAAUUUAGGAAGGGAGAAGCCUUUCUUUUGUCAAGCAGAGGUGCUCCAAGGUCUUCAGUGCACGUAGUGAGGAUGGAAAAGUAAUGAUGCCUACAUUUGAAUUUUAUGAGGCAGCUUGACUUUCUGAUAGGUGUUUUUCAGGUUUGGAGCAAAGGUAAAUACGUUUUCAAUUUCCAGUGAAAAUGAACUCCGAAAAAGAUCAGUUUUAGUCAAUUUUCAUUUCACAAUUUUUAUUUAACAAUUUUAUUUUACUUUCUACACUCACCUGUAAAGCUAUCCAGAACUGUAUUAUUGACAUCCUAUGUCGGGUGUAAUCUCAUUGAAAUCUUCCAUUUUUAAUAUAUUUUGUUAUUCCUAAAGGAUACUACUAUUCACUACUGGUUAAAAAAAAAAUCUUCAUCUCCUUUCCUAGAUCAAACUCUCUCUUGUUUUGUAACGAAACAGUAUGAGAACACGUGCUUGACUUCACAAAGAAGCCUGUAAAGGCUAUAGAUAUGGUACAUACUUCUGUGGAGUGAGAGAGCAUUUAAAUUUUAAUAGCUUUAUUUUGAAACAAGGCUUCAAGCACAGAUGUAAAUAAUUCAGUGCUUGAAGGCCUCCAAUGCGCUGCUAAUCGUUCGUAGUGUGCCUAGAGUUGUAUAGGUAGACAGGAAGGCAGAUGUUAAGCAGCUCUACCCAUGGCGAUGUCGCCACAAGGCUGUAUGGUGGUAGGUGAGUCAUGGAAAUUCCCUGUCUUCUUGUUUGUUGAAUGAGGAUGAGCUAUCCAUUUCCCUGGAAUGCUAUGAUCCUCAAAUAACGGAUGAUGUGAACAUCUCUGUUGAAAUACCGCAUCAUUAAUUUUCUCCUGCUCUUUUGCCAACGUUUGAAGACAAUUAGAUCUAUGAUGGUUCGGGCUUUAAAGCUACUAGCGGUACUACAAUAACUGUUUUCAAUUUUUAAAAGAUUUGAUUUCCUACCUUCUUGGGAAACUUUUGCCACUUAAGCCUCAAAUGCAUUCUUACAGAAAUGGUAGCUUAUGUUUCCUGUGCUGUGCCUCUCUAAAUAAUGAUGUACAGUAGUCAGUAAUUAAUUCAGACACAAGCAUAGUCCAUCCCUUUGUAUUUUGGAAACAGGCUCAUGUCACAGAUAUGCUGUGAUAUGUUGACCUUGAAUCUUUACUACUCUGUAACUCAGGCAAUAUCACCUUGCUUUGAUACCCUUCUGAAAAAAAGGCAAAAUUCAGACCUUUGGCAGUAGUGUUUUGUUGUUGUUGUUUUGUUUUGUUUUACAAAAGUAAGCAAGAAUGCACUGAAAUUAGGUCUUGAAUUUCUGGGUUUCUGCAAUUUUCACUCCGUGUUUUAGGCAUUUAGUGCUCUUUUUAAUUUGAAGUGACAUUAAAAGCAUCUGGUAGAGAGUCAACAAGAUUUUCGUAGACCUUUUCCUCCUGUCAGUACAAUUCAACAGACUGGAGAUUGUUCAUAAAAAUAUAUGUGUACAUAGUUGUAACUGGGUAUGUGAAGCCAUCCAUAGCUAAUCUACUAUUCCAGCAGAUAUCACUAACACGCUGCAAGGCUUCCUUAGAACCAGGAUCUUUGCACGUUCUCGCAGUGGGGAAAUAUUAAUGAAACACAUCAUCCUAGGAAUGUCCCUAUUACCACUUCUGUUUUAAAAGCUGUCCACAUUAAUGAGCUCUACAUAACCUUUUGCCCCUCAGAUUUCUACAGAACGAUCCACCUGGCAAAGAGUUAAGUGCAGACCAUAACUGCACAGUACAGCCUGCAAGUGUCAUCAUUUUUUCCCUGCAAACUCUGUGUGUGUGUGCAUGUGUGUGUCUGAGCGCACAUUUUAAAGACCUUGCCUAAUCACACCUCACUUAUUUUUAAGUAGAACAUGUGGUUUGACUUUGCACCCACUUUUCUAUUGGAAGACUAAAUGUUAACACCCAGGGGCACCUGUCUUAGAUUAGCGAAUAGUUUACUACAAAUGAUGGAACCAAACUGAUGGGAUUAUACUUGGCUCAGAAACGCAAAAUUGAGUCAAAUAGGAUUUUCCAUUUUAUUUAUUUAUUUGCUUCAAAGUACAGAAGAUGACACUGAAAACGAAGGGAAAACGUCUCUAAUGCUGUAGCUUAAAAACAUCUGACAGGUUCUGCUGACAUCUUUUCUGUGUGGAAGGACCUGAAAAUCUCAUGUCCACUUGACAAGAGCAUUUUUGUCAUUCCACAGUGGCAAAACAAGUGCAAAAUGUGAAGUGGUCUGCACAUAUGGCCUUAGAGGGCACUAAGGUUUGGUGAGGGUCAAUUUUUUUGGGAUCUGGGUAAAUUUCAUGGUCCCAGCUGUCCAGAUGAUUUGCAGAGGACACCAGUAUACUAAAGCAACCUGCUGUGAAUCUUCAUCCAAACAGGCUAAUGCAUGGCAGGCAUCCUGUACUGUCCUCGAUAACUUCACAAAACUAAACCUAACUUCCACCAGCUAGCUUGAGAUUUCCUCUUCUGGUCUUCUGAUCAACGGGGUAUAAAUUAUAUGAUUCUCCUACGAUCAUGUAAAAUUCUGUCCUUAUACUCACACAAACAUAUGUGCACGUUAUUACUUUGUGUUUGGACUGUAAGUUUCUUUUUAUCUCUGUAUGUCUCAAAUUAUCCUUCACUUGUCACCUACCUCUGUUUAUCAGUACCCCUGUUUCUCUGUCCAGUGUUAUGUGCUGCUUUGGAGUAAAUGUGUAUAUAUAUGUACUCAAGAAAAGUGGAGUUAAUAGAGGUUAGUUGUUUUUCCUCAUUCCUUCAUACUGUCUGCUACUCUCCCUGCUGAACAUCUCUUUCUCCUUUUAUAGGGUAUUUUUGUAGUGUCAAAUAGCGCAGUAAUGUUUUGUGACUUCUUUGGAACAAGUGCUGCACUGUUGCUGUGAUAUUGUUGCCAUCACAUUUUCAAAUCUCCAUUUUUAGAUGUCUUUGCUAACACAAAUUGGAGUAAUUUAAAUGGCAACUUACAAAUAAGUGAUUUUCUAUUUUUUAAUAUUCUCAGUUAAUUAUCUAUUUGCUGGAAUGAAUGGAACAGAACCACUAAUUCCUGUUGCUUUUAAGCUCCUGGUCAAACAGACUGGAGAUAUUUAAUUUUGUACUAAAAAUGGUAUUGUUCAUCUUUACAUUCUGGUACCUAAGCACAGGUUAUUUUUCUGAUGUAGGAAGGC